rnacentral:rRNA from 1 species
GCCGUCGUAUCGGAUUACUGGGCGUAAGCGUGCGCAGGCGGUUUUGUAAGUCUGUCGUGAAAGCCCCGGGCUUAACCUGGGAAUUGCGAUGGAGACUGCAAGGCUUGAAUCUGGCAGAGGGGGGUAGAAUUCCACGUGUAGCAGUGAAAUGCGUAGAGAUGUGGAGGAACACCGAUGGCGAAGGCAGCCCCCUGGGUCAAGAUUGACGCUCAUGCACGAAAGCGUGGGGAGCAAACAGGAUUAGAUACCCUGGUAGUCCACGCCCUAAACGAUGUCUACUAGUUGUCGGGUCUUAAUUGACUUGGUAACGCAGCUAACGCGUGAAGUAGACCGCCUGGGGAGUACGGUCGCAAGAUUAAAACUCAAAGGAAUUGACGGGGACCCGCACAAGCGGUGGAUGAUGUGGAUUAAUUCGAUGCAACGCGAAAAACCUUACCUACCCUUGACAUGUCAGGAACCUCCGAGAGAUUGGAGGGUGCCCGAAAGGGAGCCUGAACACAGGUGCUGCAUGGCUGUCGUCAGCUCGUGUCGUGAGAUGUUGGGUUAAGUCCCGCAACGAGCGCAACCCUUGUCAUUAGUUGCUACGAAAGGGCACUCUAAUGAGACUGCCGGUGACAAACCGGAGGAAGGUGGGGAUGACGUCAAGUCCUCAUGGCCCUUAUGGGUAGGGCUUCACACGUCAUACAAUGGUACAUACAGAGGGCCGCCAACCCGCGAGGGGGAGCUAAUCCCAGAAAGUGUAUCGUAGUCCGGAUCGCAGUCUGCAACUCGACUGCGUGAAGUUGGAAUCGCUAGUAAUCGCGGAUCAGCAUGUCGCGGUGAAUACGUUCCCGGGUCUUGUACACACCGCCCGUCACACCAUGGGAGCGGGUUUUACCAGAAGUAGGUAGCUUAACCGCAAGGAGGGCGCUUACCACGGUAGGAUUCGUGACUGGGGUG